rnacentral:rRNA from 1 species
CAGCACCUCAAGUGGUCAGGAUGAUUAUUGGGCCUAAAGCAUCCGUAGCCGGCUCUAUAAGUUUUCGGUUAAAUCUGUACGCUCAACGUACAGGCUGCCGGGAAUACUGCAGAGCUAGGGAGUGGGAGAGGUAGACGGUACUCGGGAGGAAGGGGUAAAAUCCUUUGAUCUCUCGAUGACCACCUGUGGCGAAGGCGGUCUACCAGAACACGUCCGACGGUGAGGGAUGAAAGCUGGGGGAGCAAACCGGAUUAGAUACCCGGGUAGUCCCAGCUGUAAACUAUGCAAACUCAGUGAUGCAUUGACUUGUGGUCAAUGCAGUGCUGCAGGGAAGCCGUUAAGUUUGCCGCCUGGGAAGUACGUACGCAAGUAUGAAACUUAAAGGAAUUGGCGGGGGAGCACCACAAGGGGUGAAGCCUGCGGUUCAAUUGGAGUCAACGCCAGAAAUCUUACCCGGAGAGACAGCAGAAUGAAGGUCAAGCUGAAGACUUUACCAGACAAGCUGAGAGGUGGUGCAUGGCCGUCGCCAGCUCGUGCCGUGAGAUGUCCUGUUAAGUCAGGUAACGAGCGAGAUCCCUGCCUCUAGUUGUCACCAUUACUCUCAGGAGUAGUGGGGCGAAUUAGCGGGACCGCCGCAGUUAAUGCGGAGGAAGGAAGGGGCCACGGCAGGUCAGUAUGCCCCGAAACUCUGGGGCCACACGCGGGCUGCAAUGGUAAUGACAAUGUGUUCCAAAUCCGAAAGGAGGAGGUAAUCCCCAAACAUUACCACAGUUAUGACUGAGGGCUGCAACUCGCCCUCACGAAUAUGGAAUCCCUAGUAACUGCGUGUCAUUAUCGCGCGGUGAAUACGUCCCUGCUCCUU